UGGGGAAUAUUGGACAAUGGGCGCAAGCCUGAUCCAGCCAUGCCGCGUGUGUGAAGAAGGCCUUUUGGUUGUAAAGCACUUUAAGCGAGGAGGAGGCUACUUGGAUUAAUACUCUAAGAUAGUGGACGUUACUCGCAGAAUAAGCACCGGCUAACUCUGUGCCAGCAGCCGCGGUAAUACAGAGGGUGCGAGCGUUAAUCGGAUUUACUGGGCGUAAAGCGUGCGUAGGCGGCUUCUUAAGUCGGAUGUGAAAUCCCUGAGCUUAACUUAUGAAUUGCAUUCGAUACUGGGAAGCUAGAGUAUGGUAGAGGAUGGUAGAAUUCCAGGUGUAGCGGUGAAAUGCGUAGAGAUCUGGAGGAAUACCGAUGGCGAAGGCAGCCAUCUGGCCUAAUACUGACGCUGAGGUACGAAAGCAUGGGGAGCAAACAGG
rnacentral:rRNA from 1 species